UACGUAGGGGGCAAGCGUUGUCCGGAUUUAUUGGGCGUAAAGAGCUCGUAGGCGGUUCGGUAAGUCGGCUGUGAAAUCUCCACGCUCAACGUGGAGGGGUCAGUCGAAACUGCCGUGACUCGAGUCCGGUAGAGGAGUGUGGAAUUCCCGGUGUAGCGGUGAAAUGCGUAGAUAUCUGGAGGAACACCGGUGGCGAAGGCGGCGUUCUGGACUGUUACUGACACUGAGGAACGAAAGCCAGGGGAGCAAACAGG
rnacentral:rRNA from 1 species